GACGAACGCUGGCGGCGUGCUUAACACAUGCAAGUCGAACGGAAAGGCCCUGCUUUUGUGGGGUGCUCGAGUGGCGAACGGGUGAGUAACACGCGAGUAACCUGUCCUUGACUUUGGGAUAACUUCAGGAAACUGGGGCUAAUACCGGAUAGGAGCUCCUGCUGCAUGGUGGGGGUUGGAAAGUUUCGGCGGUUGGGGAUGGACUCGCGGCUUAUCAGCUUGUUGGUGGGGUAGUGGCUUACCAAGGCUUUGACGGGUAGCCGGCCUGGGAGGGUGACCGGCCACAUUGGGACUGAGGUACGGCCCAGACUCCUACGGGCGGCAGCAGUGGGGAAUAUUGCACAGUGGGCGGGCGCCUGAUGCAGAGACGCCGCGUGCGGGAUGCCGGCCUUCGGGUUGUAAACCGCUUUCGCCUGUGACGAAGCGUGAGUGACGGUAAUGGGUAAAGAAGCACCGGCUAACUACGUG
rnacentral:rRNA from 1 species